UUACCCCAGAAACUCUACUCCAUACUUUUACAUUUGAUUCUCUCAGAAUCUCCAUGAAAACCUACAAUGAAGACAAAGUGGCAACAUAACACAAAGAGAUGAAAACAGGAGUUGAAUCAUUAAAGAUCCCAGAAUGUUACAAGGACACAGCAGUUAUUUUCAAAACAGACUAGAUAAAGCAUGCCUCUUCAAAGAAUUCAGCUACUUACCAUGAAAGCUACACUCUCCAGAAUUAACAACAUUCAGAGAACAUACAGUUUCUCUACAAGAAGAAAAG